CGGAACGGGUGAGUAACGCGUGAGGAACCUGCCUCAAAGAGGGGGACAACAGUUGGAAACGACUGCUAAUACCGCAUAAGCCCACGGGUCGGCAUCGACCUGAGGGAAAAGGAGCAAUCCGCUUUGAGAUGGCCUCGCGUCCGAUUAGCUAGUUGGUGAGGUAAUGGCCCACCAAGCCGACGAUCAGUAGCCGACCUGAGAGGGUGACCGGCCACAUUGGGACUGAGACACGGCCCAG
rnacentral:rRNA from 1 species